CUCCUUGGACUGGGACUUCACUGUGACCCGAGAGGAGGUGGCCACUCAAUGCUGAGGUCACACGGCUCCCUUCCUUAUGCAGGAAAGUCAAGCCAAUAGUCCCUGAAUGUUGCCAAGGAGACACACUGCACCACCAAGCCAAGCCAAGCAAGCCACAAUGCAACACAA